CUCCCCAGUAAACUUGCACAACAGCUACUUUCUCGUCUAGUAUGGCCUUUAGAUUUUGCUCGUGAGGAAAUGCUAAAAUGACACCUAUUCCAAAUGGUUUAUCCGUUAAAGCUCGGGUUUUCCUUAUCAAUUCUCGUACAUAAUCAGGUGACUCCUGUUACACAUAAAACUUUUAAGCGUAUCCUAGGUGACUCCUGUUACACAUAAAACUUUUAAGCGUAUCCUCCUUGCUACUCAAUUAGAGUGGAGAACAGGAACGAUGUAAAUAAACAGUUGAGAUAAAUGGGAAGAUAUACACCUUUUGACUUUCUCUAAUCAAAAGACUGUUUGAUAAUCAGUUUACUGUGUCUUGUCAAUUUAAGAAUAUAACUCUGUUCAGCCCUUAAUUCAUGCCUAUAAAUAAUUUUGAGAUGAUAGCAAGGUUCAGAAAGCAAAAACAUGUAAUUCUCAAAACAAAAUUGAUUGAUUGGUCAAAUUUUGACAAAAAACUCAAAACCAUUGCAGAAAAUAUAAACUAAAGCUAAAUACUGCAUAUACAAGCUCUUAGACAAAAAAAAAAGACAAGAUAGUUAUAAAAUUUUACAACUAAUUUCCUAACUAAUAGAAGAACAAAUGAAGGAAUAAAAUAGCUGUAAGAAGCUUGCAUCACCUAUCAAUCCUAAACAAUAAUUUUAAUUAUAU
rnacentral:lncRNA from 1 species